rnacentral:rRNA from 1 species
UCAAGUUAUUAAGGGUGCAGGGCGGAUGCCUUGGCACUAGGAGCCGAUGAAGGACGUGAUAAGCUGCGAUAAGCUUCGGGGAGUUGCACGUAAACUUUGAUCCGAAGAUUUCCGAAUGAGGAAACUCACUUAGAGUAAUGUCUAAGUAUCGUUAAGUGAAUACAUAGCUUAGCGAGGGGAACCCGGGGAACUGAAACAUCUAAGUACCCGGAGGAAGAGAAAGAAAUUCGAUUCCGUAAGUAGCGGCGAGCGAACGCGGAACAGGCCAAACCAGUGAAGUUUUCUUCGCUGGGGUUGCGGACAUAUCAUAACGAAGAGGUAUCGUAGAAGAAGAGAGUUGGAAAGCUCCGCCAUAGAUGGUAACAGCCCAGUAUUUUAAACGAGAAGACUUUAGAUAUGAUCCAGAGUACCACGGGACACGUGAAACCCUGUGGGAAGCAGGAGGGACCAUCCUCCAAGCCUAAAUACUACCUAGUGACCGAUAGCGCAUAGUACCGUGAGGGAAAGGUGAAAAGAACCCCGGGAGGGGAGUGAAAGAGAACCUGAAACCCUGCACUUACAAGCUGUAGGAGCACAUUAUUUGUGUGACUGCGUACUUUUUGUAGAACGGGCCAACGAGUUACGUUGUGUAGCAAGGUUAAGCACUUAAGGUGUGGAGCCGUAGCGAAAGCGAGUCUUAAAUGGGCGAUUAAGUUACUUGGCGUAGACCCGAAACCGGGCGACCUAUCCAUGAGCAGGUUGAAGCGAAAGUAAAAUUUCGUGGAGGACCGAACCCACGAGCGUUGAAAAGCUCGGGGAUGACUUGUGGAUAGCGGUGAAAUUCCAAUCGAGCCCGGAGAUAGCUGGUUCUCCCCGAAAUAGCUUUAGGGCUAGCCUCAAGCGUAGAGAAACGGAGGUAGAGCACUGAAUGUCCUAGGGGGUAUUGCACUUACCGAAGACUAUCAAACUCCGAAUGCCGUUUUCUUUUACUUGGGAGUCAGACUGUGGGUGAUAAGAUUCAUAGUCAAAAGGGCAACAGCCCAGAUCGUCAGCUAAGGUCCCUAAAUGUACGUUAAGUGGUAAAGGAUGUGGGAUUGCACAGACAACCAGGAUGUUGGCUUAGAAGCAGCCACUCAUUUAAAGAGUGCGUAAUAGCUCACUGGUCGAGUGAUCCUGCGCCGAAAAUUUCCGGGGCUAAAACGUACUACCGAAGCUACGGCAUCAUUUAUGAUGGGUAGGGGAGCUUCGUAUGCAGGCUGAAGCAUGACCGUAAGGACAUGUGGACAGUAUACGAGUGAGAAUGUUGGCAUGAGUAGCGAGACGUGGGUGAGAAUCCCACGGGCCGUAAACCCAAGGUUUCCAGGGGAAGGUUCGUCCGCCCUGGGUUAGUCGGGACCUAAGCCGAGGCCGAAAGGCGUAGGUGAUGGACAACAGGUUGAUAUUCCUGUACCGCCAAUAAGCGUUUGAGAGAUGGAGUGACACAGUAGGAUAAGCUAACCGUACUGUUGGUUAUGUACGGCUAAGCAUUGAGGCAGUCUAAAUAGGCAAAUCCGUUUAGACAAUGCUAGGAUGUGAUGGGGAAGCCCUUCGGGGCGAAGUAGCUGAUUUCACACUGUCAAGAAAAGCUUCUAUCGAGUUUAAAGGCGCCCGUACCGUAAACCGACACAGGUGGGUGAGGAGAGUAUCCUAAGGCCAGCGAGAGAACUAUUGUUAAGGAACUCGGCAAAAUGACCCCGUAACUUAGGGAGAAGGGGUGCCUGUCUAUGACAGGCCGCAGAGAAUAGGCCCAAGCGACUGUUUACCAAAAACACAGGUUUCUGCUAAGUCGCAAGACGAUGUAUAGGAGCUGACGCCUGCCCGGUGCUGGAAGGUUAAGGGGAUCUGUUAGAGCAAUCGAAGCAGUGAACUUAAGCCCCAGUAAACGGCGGCCGUAACUAUAACGGUCCUAAGGUAGCGAAAUUCCUUGUCGGGUAAGUUCCGACCCGCACGAAAGGCGUAAUGAUUUGGGCACUGUCUCAACGAGAGACUCGGUGAAAUUUUAGUACCUGUGAAGAUGCAGGUUACCCGCGACAGGACGGAAAGACCCCAUGGAGCUUUACUGCAGUUUGAUAUUGAGUAUCUGUACCACAUGUACAGGAUAGGUAGGAGCCUAUGACCUCGGGACGCCAGUUUCGAGUGAGGCGUUGUUGGGAUACUACCCUUGUGUUAUGGCUACUCUAACCCAGAUAGGUUAUCCCUAUCGGAGACAGUGUCUGACGGGCAGUUUGACUGGGGCGGUCGCCUCCUAAAAGGUAACGGAGGCGCCCAAAGGUUCCCUCAGAAUGGUUGGAAAUCAUUCGCAGAGUGUAAAGGUAUAAGGGAGCUUGACUGCGAGAGCUACAACUCGAGCAGGGACGAAAGUCGGGCUUAGUGAUCCGGUGGUUCCGCAUGGAAGGGCCAUCGCUCAACGGAUAAAAGCUACCCUGGGGAUAACAGGCUUAUCUCCCCCAAGAGUUCACAUCGACGGGGAGGUUUGGCACCUCGAUGUCGGCUCAUCGCAUCCUGG